UCCGAGCGUUUCCGCCCGCGAAGCCCGGCGCGAGGAGCCGGCGAGGCCGGGAGCCAACGACAGGCGCGGCGGGGUGCGGGCGGAGCGGGGCCGCCGAGCGGAGCAGAGCUCGCAGCCCGGGUCUCCGGAGCUCGGACCGGCUCGGCGGCGGCGCGGGCGGCGAUGUUCCACUGCCUCCCCCCGUGGCGGGGCAACCGUCACGUGGAGACCGUCGACAAGAGCCACUGCUCGCUGGUCUGCGUGCCCAAGAAGAUCUACCGCGACUCCCGCAGCCUGGAGGAGCUGCUGCUGGACGCCAACCAGCUCCGCCAGCUGCCCGAGCAAUUCUUCCAGCUAGUCAAAUUACGAAAGCUUGGACUUAGUGAUAAUAAAAUUUGGCGGCUCCAUCCAGAAAUAGCAAACUUCAUGCAGCUGGUGGAACUAGAUGUGUCUCGAAAUUAUAUUUCUGAAAUUCCAGAAAGCAUCUCGUUCUGUAAAGCACUGCAGGUAGCUGACUUCAGCGGAAACCCGCUGACGAGGUUGCCAGAAAGCUUUCCUGAAUUACAGAAUUUAACGUGUCUUUCUGUAAAUGACACCUCACUGCAGUCUCUGCCUGAGAAUAUUGGCAGUCUUUAUAACCUGGUCUCACUGGAAUUGAGAGAGAAUCUUCUUACAUAUCUUCCUGACUCUCUUACUCACCUACGGAGACUAGAACUUGAUUUAGGAAACGAUAAAAUAUAUAAUUUGCCAAAAUCAAUUGGAGCGCUCUUACCUCUGAAGAAUCUCUGGUUGCAUGGAAACCAACUGUCCGAAUUACCUCAGGAAAUAGGAAAUCUGAAGAACCUGCUGUGCAUAGAUGUCUCUGAAAACAGGUUGGAAAGACUUCCUGAAGAAAUCAGUGGCCUGACUUCAUUAAUAGAUUUAGUCAUUUCCCAGACUUAUUAGAAAUGAUUCCAGAUGGCAUUGGAAAACUAAAGAAACUGUCAAUCUUGAAGCUUGAUCAGAACAGACUCACACAGUUGCCUGAGCAGUUGGGGAUUGUGAAGUCUCACUGAGCUAGUUCUCACAGAAAAACUGGCUCUUGACUUUACCCAAGAGUAUUGGAAAACUAAAGAAGCUGAGCAACUUGAAUGCAGACAGAAAUCAAUUAGCAUCUUUACCAAAAGAGAUUGGCGGAUGCUGCAGCCUGACUGUGUUUUGCGUGCGUUACAACAGACUAACUCGGAUACCUGCAGAAGUGUCACAGGCGACAGAGCUUCACGUCCUAGAUGUGGCAGGGAACCGGUUGCUGCAUCUGCCUUUGUCCCUGACUGCCUUGAAGUUAAAGGCACUGUGGAUGUCUGAUAACCAGUCGCAGCCUCUGCUGACAUUCCAGACAGACACAGACCACAGCACAGGAGAGAAGAUUUUAACCUGUGUCUUACUUCCUCAGCUGCCUUCUAAACCCACAUACCAAGAGAAUCUGUCUCGCUGUAGCACGCCGGAGAGCUUGGUCAGUGAUGUCGCCGAUGAAGCCUGGAAUGAGCGUGCAGUCCACAGAGUCAGUGCCAUUCGAUUUUUGGAAGAUGAAAAAGAUGAAGACGACAAUGAAAUGAGGACACUUCUAAGACAAGCCACCCCACACCCAGGGGAGUUAAGGAGCAUGAAAAAGACAGUGGAAAAUUUACAGAAUGACAUGAAUGCUGCUAAAGGACUGGAUUCCAACAAAAACGAGCUUAAUCACACUCUUGACCGAGUGACCACAUCUGUGUAGAAGUGCGCCUCGAGUUUU